AAAUUACCCUAGGGCACCUGUUACACAAAAUUUUGCACCAAGGUAUCAGUCCAAUGCCAGAGCUGCAACACAGUCCAAUAGGUUUUCGAAUCCACGAAGAAAUUUUAACCAAAAUUCUCGUUUUUCAUAUACUAAUUACAGAUUUCCUGGUAACCAGGCAAACGUUCCACGAAUGCAAUUUUAACAUGUUCAAAUGUUGAAUUUUCUUCUUUUUUUACAGCUUUCAAUCAUCAGUACGAUAUUUGGUGUUUGGGUUUUACCCCUAUUAAUACCAUGGUUUUAGGGAAUAUGUUGAUAGACUACCCCGAUAUAAUUACGGCAAAUAUAUUAUACAAUGGUUUUAAAUAUGGUUUUCGUACACAUUAUACAGGCCCAAGGGUUGCUUAUGAAAGCAAAAAAUUAAAAUCUGUUUUACAAGAUCCAAAUUUAGCUUGGAAAAAAGUCAUGAGUGAAGUGGAAAAUGGCAGAAUUGCGGGCCCCUUUUUUAUCGGCCUAUUUUAAAUCUACGAGUUUCUCCUAUUGGCAUCGUGCCAAAGAAAACAGGUGGUUUUCGUUUAAUAACGCAAAUGUCUUCACCAGCUAAUGGCGGUGUCAAUGACUUUAUCGAUGAGUGCUAUACUUCAGUAAAAUAUUCAAUUUUUGACCAUGCAGUAAACAUGAUUAAAAAGCUAGGUUUUAAGGCGGAAAUUGCAAAAAUGGAUAUAAAGGCCGCC
rnacentral:lncRNA from 1 species